rnacentral:rRNA from 1 species
UAAGGAAUAUUGCGCAAUGGGCGACAGCCUGACGCAGCGACGCCGCGUGGGGGAUGAAGGUCUUCGGAUUGUAAACCCCUUUCGGCAGGGAAGAUGGAACGGGUAACCGUUCGGACGGUACCUGCAGAAGCAGCCACGGCUAACUUCGUGCCAGCAGCCGCGGUAAUACGAAGGUGGCAAGCGUUGUUCGGAUUUACUGGGCGUACAGGGAGCGUAGGCGGUUGGGUAAGCCCUCCGUGAAAUCUCCGGGCCUAACCCGGAAAGUGCGGAGGGGACUGCUCGGCUAGAGGAUGGGAGAGGAGCGCGGAAUUCCCGGUGUAGCGGUGAAAUGCGUAGAGAUCGGGAGGAAGGCCGGUGGCGAAGGCGGCGCUCUGGAACAGUUUCUGACGCUGAGGCUCGAAAGCGUGGGGAGCAAACAGGAUUAGAUACCCAUGUAGUCCCUGAGCGGGCUGGCAAGGCGCAU